rnacentral:rRNA from 1 species
UACUAGAGUAGCACUCGCAUAUCAAUAAGCGGAGGAAAAGAAACUAACAAGGAUUCCCUUAGUAACGGCGAGUGAAGCGGGAAGAGCUCAAAUUUGAAAUCUUCAAGGUUCUACCUUGACGAAUUGUAGUUUAUAGAAGUGUUUUCUGUUAGUAGAGUGGCAAAAGUUCUUUGGAAUAGGACAUCAUAGAGGGUGAGAAUCCCGUAUUUGGUCAUUCCUCCUAGCUUUGUGAUACACUUUCAACGAGUCGGAUUGUUUGGGAAUGCAGUCCAAAAUGGGUGGUAAAUUUCAUCUAAAGCUAAAUAUUGGCGAGAGACCGAUAGCGAACAAGUACCGUGAGGGAAAGAUGAAAAGAACUUUGAAAAGAGAGUUAAACAGUACGUGAAAUUGUCAAAAGGGAAGCGUUUGACACCAGUGUUGUUUUUCCGAAAAUCAAUUACUGAAUGUUUUGUUUUUGAGAAGUUAUGACUUCAUCGGCUUGCUUCUCUCUUUACGAAACUUUCUUAAUGCACUUUUCGGUUAACAAGUCAACAUCAAUUUCUUUUGUUGUAAAAGGGUAUGAGGAAGGUGGCUUUCUUUUCGGAGAAAGUGUUUAUAGCCUUGUACCUCUGCAAUCGGAGAGAUUGAGGUCUGCAGCGUAGAUCCUUCGGGGUUAGAUACAUUUGUGCUAAGUUAUAGCUUUUCAUAGACAACUUGUUGACUAUGUUUAGUCUUGUAGCUUACUCGCUUAUGCUAUUUUACCUACGCUUAGGAUGUUGAAGAUGUAGCACAUCAU